rnacentral:ncRNA from 8 species
GUUUCCGUAGGUGAACCUGCGGAAGGAUCA